UACAGAGGGUGCGAGCGUUGUCCGGAAUCACUGGGCGUAAAGGGCGCGUAGGCGGUCUCUUAAGCGUGUGGUGAAAGCCCGGGGCUCAACUCCGGGUCGGCCGUGCGAACUGGGGGACUGGAGCUUGUCAGAGGCAGGCGGAAUUCCGGGUGUAGCGGUGAAAUGCGCAGAUAUCAGGAGGAACACCGGUGGCGAAGGCGGGUCACUGGGCCGCAACUGACGCUGAGGAGCGAAAGCAUGGGGAGCGAACAGG
rnacentral:rRNA from 1 species